rnacentral:rRNA from 1 species
AAUCUUCCACAAUGGGCGCAAGCCUGAUGGAGCAAUGCCGCGUGAAUGAAGAAGGUCUUCGGAUCGUAAAGUUCUGUUAUCGGAGAAGAACACGUCGAGUAGUAACUGGCUCGACCUUGACGGUAUCCGACCAGAAAGUCACGGCUAACUACGUGCCAGCAGCCGCGGUAAUACGUAGGUGACAAGCGUUGUCCGGAUUUAUUGGGCGUAAAGCGAGCGCAGGCGGUCUUUUAAGUCUGAUGUGAAAGCCCACGGCUCAACCGUGGAUGGUCAUUGGAAACUGGAGGACUUGAAUGCAGAAGAGGUAAGUGGAAUUCCAUGUGUAGCGGUGAAAUGCGUAGAUAUAUGGAGGAACACCAGUGGCGAAGGCGACUUACUGGUCUGUUAUUGACGCUGAGGCUCGAAAGCGUGGGGAGCGAACAGG